GACGAACGCUGGCGGCGUGCUUAACACAUGCAAGUCGAACGGAAAGGCCCUGCUUUUGUGGGGUGCUCGAGUGGCGAACGGGUGAGUAACACGUGAGUAACCUGCCCUUGACUUUGGGAUAACUUCAGGAAACUGGGGCUAAUACCGGAUAGGAGCUCCUGCUGCAUGGUGGGGGUUGGAAAGUUUCGGCGGUUGGGGAUGGACUCGCGGCUUAUCAGCUUGUUGGUGGGGUAGUGGCUUACCAAGGCUUUGACGGGUAGCCGGCCUGAGAGGGUGACCGGCCACAUUGGGACUGAGAUACGGCCCAGACUCCUACGGGAGGCAGCAGUGGGGAAUAUUGCACAAUGGGCGGAAGCCUGAUGCAGCAACGCCGCGUGCGGGAUGACGGCCUUCGGGUUGUAAACCGCUUUCGCCUGUGACGAAGCGUGAGUGACGGUAAUGGGUAAAGAAGCACCGGCUAACUACGUGCCAGCAGCCGCGGUGAUACGUAGGGUGCGAGCGUUGUCCGGAUUUAUUGGGCGUAAAGGGCUCGUAGGUGGUUGAUCGCGUCGGAAGUGUAAUCUUGGGGCUUAACCCUGAGCGUGCUUUCGAUACGGGUUGACUUGAGGAAGGUAGGGGAGAAUGGAAUUCCUGGUGGAGCGGUGGAAUGCGCAGAUAUCAGGAGGAACACCAGUGGCGAAGGCGGUUCUCUGGGCCUUUCCUGACGCUGAGGAGCGAAAGCGUGGGGAGCGAACAGGCUUAGAUACCCUGGUAGUCCACGCUGUAAACGGUGGGUACUAGGUGUGGGGUCCAUUCCACGGGUUCCGUGCCGUAGCUAACGCUUUAAGUACCCCGCCUGGGGAGUACGGCCGCAAGGCUAAAACUCAAAGGAAUUGACGGGGCCCCGCACAAGCGGCGGAGCAUGCGGAUUAAUUCGAUGCAACGCGUAGAACCUUACCUGGGUUUGACAUGGAUCGGGAGUGCUCAGAGAUGGGUGUGCCUCUUUUGGGGUCGGUUCACAGGUGGUGCAUGGCUGUCGUCAGUUCGUGUCGUGAGAUGUUGGGUUAAGUCCCGCAACGAGCGCAACCCUUGUUCACUGUUGCCAGCACGUUAUGGUGGGGACUCAGUGGAGACCGCCGGGGUCAACUCGGAGGAAAGUGGGGAUGACGUCAAGUCAUCAUGCCCCUUAUGUCCAGGGCUUCACGCAUGCUACAAUGGCUGGUACAGAGAGUGGCGAGCCUGUGAGGGUGAGCGAAUCUCGGAAAGCCGGUCUCAGUUCGGAUUGGGGUCUGCAACUCGACCUCAUGAAGUCGGAGUCGCUAGUAAUCGCAGAUCAGCAACGCUGCGGUGAAUACGUUCCCGGG
rnacentral:rRNA from 1 species